rnacentral:rRNA from 1 species
AAAGGGUCCGUAGGCGGACUCGUAAGUCAGUGGUGAAAUCUCAUAGCUUAACUAUGAAACUGCCAUUGAUACUGCGGGUCUUGAGUAAGGUAGAGGUAGCUGGAAUAAGUAGUGUAGCGGUGAAAUGCAUAGAUAUUACUUAGAACACCAAUUGCGAAGGCAGGUUACCAUGUCUUAACUGACGCUGAUGGACGAAAGCGUGGGGAGCGAACAGGAUUAGAUACCCCUGU